rnacentral:rRNA from 1 species
AACUGCGAGUGAAGCGGGAAAAGCUCAAAUUUAAAAUCUGGUGGUCUUUGGCCAUCCGAGUUGUAAUUUAGAGAAGCGUCUUCCGCGUCGGACCGUGCACAAGUCUCCUGGAAUGGAGCGUCAUAGAGGGUGAGAAUCCCGUCUUUGGCACGGAUGCCCGGUGCUUCUGUGAUGCGCUCUCGAAGAGUCGAGUUGUUUGGGAAUGCAGCUCAAAAUGGGUGGUGAACUCCAUCUAAAGCUAAAUAUUGGCGAGAGACCGAUAGCGAACAAGUACCGUGAGGGAAAGAUGAAAAGCACUUUGGAAAGAGAGUGAAACAGUACGUGAAAUUGUUGAAAGGGAAACGCUUGAAGUCAGUCGCGUUGACCGAGACUCAGCCUUGCCUUGGCUUGGUGUACUUCUCGGCUCGACGGGUCAGCGUCAAUUUUGCUCCUCGGAUAAUGGCAAGGGAAAGGUGGCACCUUUACGGGUGUGUUAUAGUCUCCUGUCGCAUGCGAGGGGGGGGAUUGAGGAACUCAGCGCGCACCUCGGUGUCGGGGCUUCU